CAGGCAGGAGCCAUCCCACGGUAGGUGUACUCUGCCAAGCACAUCGGAUCUGUGCGGUUUAGCUGUUAACCUGACACUGGGGACAGGGUCAGCCCGGGCUGCAGACUGGGACCCACCCAGGUUUCAGUCCGCAGCUGCGCGGGGACAGACACCCUCGGAGCUUUAGUCAGGCCUCUUAGUUGGAGCCCUCUUCUAGGCUGGGCCUCAUCCUUGGCCUGCUGAGCCCGGUUUUACCAGAGAGUUCUGAGGAGCCAGUUUAUCCAGAAUCCCCUCACCCUUGAUUUCCAAUCAAGCUACUCUUCCUCCACCCUUGUUUCUAAUCAGCUUCCUCUUCCUGCUCACCCUUAAUAUCUAACCAAGUUCCUCUUAGUAAUUUUCCGUUCUCUCCCUCACCUUGCCCCGGCUAUUGGUCUAUCUCCAUUGGUCCCUUUUGUAUUUGGACUCGAAAUCAAUCUCACCCCCAUUGCAGUGGUUUUGAUUAAAGUCUUUCCUGCUGUUUUUUAAAGAGCAUCCGGUGAAUAGUAUCUCUUACAGCCUUCCAGCGCCUUGGGAGACCUAACCUCAAUAAUCCUCAGUUACAUGCUAGGUAAAAUGGGUAACAGUACUCAGACAUAACACAGGAGCCAGGGAAAUGAUGAAACAGAGCCAGUACUUACUCCCAGAGCUCUAGUUUGAAAUACCACCUGGAGCAUAGCAACCUGGUGUCAGAUUCAGUUCUGAAUCUGGAGAGAUGGGAGGUCAGCUCUACAAGUCUCCCAGGUUUGUCUUCUGGGGUCACCACGGUGCCAGGAGAAGUGGAGGUGGCCACAAAAGCAAGCAGCGGAUGAAAAGGUGGUCUUUGAACCCAGUCCACCUGGCCACCCACAGACCUCGGUGUGGGAAAGCACUGGGGUCUCAACAGACGUUUCAGGAAUUUGGCCCCACCCCCAGUUAUCUGAUAACUAAAACCCCGUAAAGAAAUAAAGAAGGUUACAAA